CAGCAUGUUUCCAAGGGCUUUGGCUGGUUUAUGGCCAUGGGCUCUCCAGCUACAAGAGGAGACACUGACAACUCGGGUCAGCACAGUGCCUGUGGUUGCUACUUAUCAUUCUUAGAGAC